rnacentral:misc_RNA from 1 species
ACGGGCAGAAGAUUUACGAGCUUCAAGCAGCUCCUUCAGCCGCUUGGUGGCCAUUGCAGCCUCUUCUGUCUUUCUCUGAAGAACCAUUUUUUGGCGCUGGUUUAAAGCUUGUAGCUUAUGCCUUUCAUAUUCAUUUCUUCUCCCUUCCUUUCGCAACUGCAGCAGUUCCUUUUCCCGAGAGGCUUUCCAUUGUCGAAAUUGUUCUGCCUCUUGUUUGAUCCUAUGUUGCAACUGAACCUUUUGUGCCUUUAUGGAUUGAAUUUCAUCCUGUAAUCUCUUUGCUGCUUCAUCACUCUUCUGUUUUUGCUUUAAAAGCUGAACCUGGUUCUCUUGCUUUUUCUUAAGAUCCAGAAUCUGUGCCUCAAGUGCUUUCAAUUUCUGGGCAUGGAUAUCUUGCAAUUUUUGUGUCUGGCCAUCAGAACUAGCCGAGAGAUUUUCAAUUUCAGCCAACAAACGAUCCCUCUCUUGCUGCACAGCUUUCUUUUCAUCCUCCAAUUCCAUAAUUUUUUUUCCGAAGUGUUGCUUGAGUACUGCAGUAUCAACCCCUCCAAAAAGUUUCAUCUCUGACUCUUUCUCCUCUAAACGCCUAUUCAAUUCAUGCAACUCCUUGUCCAUUGUAUUCUGCAGAAGGGUGUGCUCCCACUCUUUUGCUACCUCUUCAUCAAUUUCCCUAGAAUCACCAGGCAAGGUUUCUCCCAUUUGAUAAUCUGUUGACUCUAUACUAUGCAGACUCCUUUUAAGCCCA